AUGAGUUCCCGUUUAUUCCGUUUCCGCUGCAGUUGCGCCUUUCGACCGAACACGCCUUUCUUUCGUUCGCCGGGCGCAGCGCUUCGCUCGAAGCCGAGCCGCCAGCUCCGAUGCACGAGGAGCGGCGGCUUUUUUA
rnacentral:ncRNA from 1 species